UCCCCCAUGGCUCAGUGGGAAAGAAUCUGCCUGCCAGUGCAGGAGACACAGGUUCAAUCCCUGUUCUGGGAA
rnacentral:tRNA from 1 species